AGGAAUCUGCCUGGUAGUGGGGGACAACGUUUCGAAAGGAACGCUAAUACCGCAUACGUCCUACGGGAGAAAGCAGGGGACCUUCGGGCCUUGCGCUAUCAGAUGAGCCUAGGUCGGAUUAGCUAGUUGGUGAGGUAAUGGCUCACCAAGGCGACGAUCCGUAACUGGUCUGAGAGGAUGAUCAGUCACACUGGAACUGAGACACGGUCCAGACUCCUACGGGAGGCAGCAGUGGGGAAUAUUGGACAAUGGGCGAAAGCCUGAUCCAGCCAUGCCGCGUGUGUGAAGAAGGUCUUCGGAUUGUAAAGCACUUUAAGUUGGGAGGAAGGGCAGUAAGUUAAUACCUUGCUGUUUUGACUUUUAUCGAUAGAAUAAGCACCGGCUAACUCUGUGCCAGCAGCCGCGGUAAUACAGAGGGUGCAAGCGUUAAUCGGAAUUACUGGGCGUAAAGCGCGCGUAGGUGGUUCGUUAAGUUGGAUGUGAAAGCCCCGGGCUCAACCUGGGAACUGCAU
rnacentral:rRNA from 1 species